UCGAAUUUGCUUGCAUUAUGAAGUGUCAUCACGCUCCAUGUUUCCAAGGGAUUGCAGCUGCUUGCAAGAGGAAGCAGGCGCUCUUCGUUCGCUAGUUUGAUACAAGUGCCACAGUUCACCAGACAGCACUUCAACGUGUUUAGUGCGCUCGCAUUUGGUGUUGGUUUGUAAAAAGCCUUCUACGAAUUGUAAGCUGAAUCGUAAGCGUACUGACGGAAAAUAUAAAAUGAAAGACGAGAAGCGUUCACUCUUUUUUUGUACAGCGUAUCUCAUAUGCCUGCUUAGCUGCCCUUACGUAAGAUUAUGCGCCAUGUAAUGCUUAUAAGGAUUGUGAGAGUGAUACUUUUGAAGUAGUUGCAAUAAAAACCAAAUGUAAAUGAAAAAGGUAUGACUAUAUACACAGCAGGAUAUAUGCAUCUUUAUUUAGGGCAUGAACAGCAAGAAUGAGGUUAGCUCAAGCAACCAACUUUGCAAAAGGCCAAUGGGUGCACAGUCUAGCAGCCUUACGCUUCCUGGAAGACCCUUGUGUAACAUUGCUUGUCACUCACACCAGUCAAACUUGCUUAUUGAAUGAACGUGUCGUAGGCUAGACUGCUCUUCUGUCUGCUGUAUGCUACAAUAACAUGGCAAACAUGCUUUCUGUCUCCCCCGGAUAUAGGAUUACAGCAACAUGCAAGGGUGCAGCCGCCACUCUGGUGCAGUAGUGGUACUGUCCAUAAUGCACUAUCCUUUCAUAAUAGCCCGAAGGUACUAGCCUACACAUGGUGUUAUCGACACUUGGCUUAAUGCACAACCAAGGUCUAUUGAGAAUGUAAUUAAGUUGUACCUCCACCAUCCACACUUGAUGUUGAAAAAUUUCUUCUGCCUACGUACCGUAAUAUCCCGAGCAAGCGCCCCCUCCUUUUUUUCUGGAUAUUUGAAAUAUCUACAAAUGGGACCGAGCAAGUGUUCCCCCCCUGCCUCCCGCCCUUUACACUGCUCCAUUCCGUGUUUUUAUUCGCGUGACAAGGGCUAAUAACGACAGCAAAUGCAUGCCUAUUCAAAAACGCAUUUCAUUGGAAGCACAUGCGGCUCUUCCACCUCCAUAUUGAAUUUUGAUCCGUGACCGAGCAAAGGCCCCCCUCCAAAUCUUGUCCGGUUAUCUUUCACCGUGGGAGUGGUGCUUGCUCCGGAUUUUACGGUAUUGAGUUAAAACUCGAUCUAACGAAGUGGUGAGGACACUUGAAUUAUUUCAUUAAAUCAGGAAGUUCGUAAAAUCGAGAAGGGGAUUUUUUGGCUCUUUGAAAUCUAAAAUUGUAACAUAUAACAACAACCAAAAGCUACCAGGCCAUUGCUCUCGCGAUUAAUCUAAUUGCUGCGCAGGUGAAAAGUCCGUGAGGCCGGCCUGAGGGUGGCUCUGACAUGAGGCUCCCUUGUCGCCUAUGUCCAGGUGAUGCAAGCCAGAAAGACCAUUACAUGAAGCAAUGAUGGGCGAUACAUGGAGAACGAACGAAGUGAUUGUGUGAGCAGGCCAAGUCAGAAAGUUGCAAGGAAGCUAUUAUUGCAACGAAACCAGCCACCGCCGCCUCUAGCACCAUCCGGUGCCCGUGCUGCAAGUUCAGUCGUAAUCCCUGUGGAGGGGGAUCCGACCCCAUGGAGAACGCAGGGGCUGACGAGCUGCGUUUAAGUAUGCUUUGCUGGUGCUUUUAGCUAUUUCAAAAGACACAAGAAGUGGCCCGACAUCACUUGGCCAUAGGCUGCUCUUCCUCAUCUCAAUGAGCAUAGCUCUUGGAAUGCUGGCUCCGCCAAAAAACUAGCCAUAAAGUUCAAAGUAAAGUUUUUAAACCAUGUA